UAGUACUCGAAAUUUCCCGUGCUGAUUUCGAUAUCUGCGAGUCGGUCACCUAUGAUGCAAGAAGAGCAUUACCAAGGGACAAUGAGGGUGACAUGCAUUUAUGUCAUCUGUGCAUGACUCAUAGAACUUAUAGUAUAACCAGACAAACAAUUGCUUGAUAAGUAUUAGUCCAAAUUGUUCCUUUGUUACCUUCGUUAUCCUUUAAAAUAGGCUUAUAGAUCUGAAUUAAGAAUAGAAUGGGAUAAAGGAUAUUAUGAAUUAAGAAUAAAAUUAGAUAAAAGAGAUAAGCAUAUAAAUGUUUUGCAACACUUUAUAUCGUUGUAUGUAAGAGAUCGUAUACGUUGAAUUGUACUCGAGAAUGAAACUGGUAAAAGCAAAGUUAAUAUUGUGGUUACAAUUAUAACAUUUAUGAAAGAAAAGAAGGCAAGGCAAAGCUAGGGCAUCUUUCUUGGCAAAGAAAAAUAGCAAUAGCAAGUCUCUUAUUUUUCAGUACUCGAAAAAAUGCUACAUAUGCGCGUUAAUCUGCUAAUCCCUAAUAAGAGCACUCGAGCAUUAAGGCGAUAAUAAAACCGAAGCCACCAGGCGAUAACGGUCAAUCAUGAUUACAUGGCAUUGCAAAUACGAUUAUCAGAUCGAUCGGACCGAUAGAGAGACGUUCGAAGAAGCGACCGAGGAAGUGUUAAGAAGAAAAAGAGAAUCCUCUAGAAGGCGAGAAAGACAACGACACAGACAAAAGAGGCAGUGAUCAUUGAUAAAUGAUUUAUGCAAGCCACUUGACUCUCAUUAAUAUCUCCCGUCACUCAAUAUAUUGGAUCUAUAUCUUCUAUUAUUUCUCACAGAGAUCAGUAUUCUGAUCAAUGACAUUGUGAUACUAGCGCCUCUGUUGGCAGAUUCUUUUGUUUCAAACAUAACCUAGAAUUAAGAACAUUAACGUAUGAAUGUGGAGCAAAAGGCGCACGUGUUUCUUUAAAAUAAUAAUGCGAUACAACAGAGUCUUCGGAUCGUAUAAUGGCAAUAUUCUUAUCUAGGAGAUACCGUUGUAUUAAAUAAGGAUACUACUAUACGUGCCACAAGUGCAAGGAGUGUUCAAUAACAAGUCUACAUGGAGGUCAGCACAAGUGCCUACAUCUGCUGUUUUUUCUCAAAUCCAAUGGACCCAAUAUCAAGUGUAUACAAAGAAAAAUAUGCUGUUACUUACUAAAGUCUCCCGGACAAGAUUUGCAACACCUGCCUGGAAGGAGAACUGGCUCUUUGCACGUAAGUUCUGGGCAUUCGUUCUUGAUGUUACGGCAGUGAACCCGCGCUACGAUUCGCCGUUUCUUCUGCACCUGAAAGCAGAACAUUAUUAUGUAUUUUCACACAUUACAACGUUUAAAAUAUUACCACGCUGUAACAGAUGGUUUUCAGUUGAACAAUAGGAAAGAGUUUGAACGAUGUCCGUUACGAAACAGAAAUCGAGUUUCUCCAUCAGCCUGUUCAUACUACUGGACACGUUCGCGGUGACGUUUGAAAGUGUGAUUGUAAUGUUUUCGAACCUGUAAACGUGCUUACAUGUUUAUUACUCCUUUACGCAUCGCUGACGACGACAGUUGCAACGUUUACAUGCACGGCGUGCAUAAAUCUAUCGUCAAGUAAUUGAUGUCUUACUCGAGCUCGACUGUGUCGUUCUUUACGAUGCAUUCAUAGCUCCAUGGUACAUGCACGAUUCAAUUCAUGAACAACGCACAUUCGUCUAAAAGAAACAUUCCUUGCUUGUUCACUUUUGUACAGAAAUAUAUUUAAUAUAUUUCUGUAUAUAAAUAUAUAUUAGUAUCCAUCGAAAUUUCAUGAUGAUAACGAAGGAACAUGAUCGUAAUUAUAAUUUGUGAUCAAAUAUGAUAAAAGGUUAUACGAGAUUUCAAUACAUAGGUGUAGACGAAGACAAAACGAAAUGAUCAGAUAGUGGAUCUAGGUAUCAAUGACGUUUAAUCAAACUGGUACUAGUAUUACCUACUUAAGUCCUAUUUGUUAUAUAUCCUUGUAGUACACGUGUAGAUUACUUAAUAAGUAAUCGAAAUUAGUAUCUACAUUGUUGUAUGAGUCAGCCGUAUUUAACGGAACUUUAUUGAUAGUCGUUUCCACUACCUGCUCAAUUAUUUCUCUACCCGACUGUUACUUGUUUGUUUAAGUUCCAUAUAAUGUAACCAGAUAAUAAAAUAAUGAUAUAAAUAAUAAUAUAUUACGAUAUGAAUUAUAAAUUAACGAUAUAAAAACUAUGAUAAUAAUAAAAAAAAAAAGAAAAACAGGUAGAACUAGAACCAUUGGAUACAAAAAUCGUAAAGUUCGAACGAGUUUCCAGCGAUCGAGCAGACACGCGUUGACCGGUCGAUAAAUAUCCGACUUUAGAGCAAAUUUGCAGCGCCUAGUUAUCUCUGGGUGUGAAAAACUAAUCUCGAAAGAUUCUUCUUCAACGGGACGCCAACCAAAGGAAUGGAUAAGAGAUCGUGCAUCCGGCGAGGGUUCCGGUUACACUGGUGCCGAGAGCAGAAAUUAAGUUUGGGGUUUUAUAGAGCUGCACGGCAUUCCUGAAACGCGAAACGAUACGUUCGAUGUUGAUUCGAGUGACAAAAUGAAAAAAAGUGAAGGGAGCGGAACGGCGCCGACCGGCGAUCAGACAACGCAGACGUUGAACUUCGCAUUACGGGAGAAUCGGGGCGCCAGGAGUAAAUUCCGAGAUUCAGUGGCCCUCGUGAGAUCGCGUGACAGUUAUUUAACUGGGACCCGCUAAGCGAGUAUGUCGGUGUAUUUUUUAUCGUCCAGAGAUACAUUUAGGUGCCUGCCGACGCAUACCUCUAGUACAUUUGAUAAGUUUCUACGACAUUGCGAGGUACAAUGUAACAGAAAGUUUUUCAGUGAUCUGGAAACAUAAAGAACGAUAAUGAUAAGGCCGAUAGUAAAAAACGAAGCAACCAUUUUUCCAUCGGCAAGCUCUCGAGGUAUUCAAUUAUGUUAUAGAUAAUGUGGCGUAAAUCUAUAUACCUUUCAUAGAAACUAACUAUAAAACUUCGCGAUUUCUACGGACUCUGUAUCUUGUUUCUUUUUAACUUUUACUUAUACAAAUAUAAAGACAUUCCAUUUUUUUAUCCCCUUAAGGAAGUUUUGAAUAUAUCCUUCGACGUUGAACACUGUACAAAUAUAGCUGUGUGACGACGCGAUCGAAAAUACCAUGCGACUGCGUUAAUAUCGCAACCAAACGGCCAAUAAGUGUAUAUAAUGUGAGUAUACAUAUACGGUGUCAUGGGAACGUUUUUGCGAGACACAGACAGAUCAAUCUUGAUGAUCGUCUCGAUUAAAAAACGUCCCGCUAUUCGCACGAGCUAGCGUGGUCCACCCACCUACGAUUUUCUCGCACCGUGGUAGUCAUUCAUUAUUUCGACAUUAUUCUAUAGGUAAUAAUAGAAGCAAGACAAACGUUCUCGCCUGAUCGGACAGGAAGUCGAUAUCGAUUUGUACGUGGAGUGUCCUGCGUGGGUCGUUCUUCGAUCGUUCUCACUUCCAACAAAUCUUUUGAUCUAUGCCGCUUCCUAA